UGCCCACUGAUAAUAAUUAAAGGGCUGCAGUAUAUUGACUGUACAAAGGUAGCAUAAUCAUUAGUCAUUUAAUUGAUGACUUGUAUGAAAGAUUGGAUGAAAUAUAAACUGUCUUAAAAUUAAAUUAUAAAAUUUAAUUUUUUAGUUAAAAAGCUAAAAUAAUUUAAAAAGACGAGAAGACCCUAUAGAGUUUUAUUUAUAUUUAAAUUUAUAAUUUUUUAUUAAUUUUAUGAUAAAUAUUAAUUUAAAUAUUAAUUUUGUUGGGGUGAUAAAAAAAUUAAAUAAACUUUUUUUUUAAAAAACAUAGAUAAGUGAUUUAUUGAUCCAAUAAUAUUGAUUAAAAGAAAAAAUUACCUUAGGGAUAACAGGGUAAUUUUUUUUUUUAGUUCAUAUAAAAAAAAAAGUUUGCGACCUCGAUGUUGGAUUAAGAUAAAAUUUAAAUGUAGAAGUUUAAAGUUUUGA
rnacentral:rRNA from 1 species